rnacentral:sRNA from 1 species
GCCAAGCGAAUUAAAAUGUAUUGUGUC